GAAGUAUGUAACUUUUAAAAAUAUGUAUAUUUAUUUUUACAUAUUUGUCACUGUGUUGUGGCAGUAUAAUAUGAUAAUCAGUGAAAAAAUAGAUCUCCUCUGCCUUCUCCCAGUGAAACAACCAAUCAGAGCCAGGAGGCGGGUCUGAGCACGGCCAAUCACAAUCUCCAGUGGGGUGACCUACAUUUCAUCUCUUCUAAGCUAACAGGUCCCGUUUUGAAUGCUAAGGCUAGUUAGCAUGUACGCAGAAGACGGCAGUUCAAUGUUUUUCCUGUAACUCGGCUGUAACACAAGGAGUUAAUCCACUGACUCCGCCCCGAGAAUCACGGGUUACGCCGAGUGUUUGCGGAGUUUAAGUGGGAAAAAAUCGAGCAGAAGCACCAGUUUGCUUGAGGAUGAAUUGCCAGUCGUCAGCAUCAGUCCCUCUUGCACCCUUCCAAGAUUCAAGCUCCAAAAAUGAUUAUAGACCAACACUGGCUAUUUCACUUAGAGACUCAAGACUGUCCAGUGCAGUACCGAUGAGGAGCACGUUGGUGUCCCCGGCCAAACUUCACAGACGACCCAACAACCCCAAGACCGUCUUUGUUAGUGAGUGGACAGACCUUUGGAGGAGUGCAGAGAGGCCCUGUCUCCACACAGAGUUUGACUCUUAAUUAGAGUUAAGGUACCAACUCUUCAAAAAGAGUUAAACUAACACUCUCUGGUGUGGUUCCCAUAUAGACACUUUAAAAGUGUUGAAAUCAAAUCUGCCAGAGUUCCUUUGGGCCUGCUGGAUUUGCCGUGUUGUUUUGAAUCAGAGCGGUGCAUUCAGAGGGUAGCAGCAGCUCAGCGAGGAGGUGGAGCAGAUUGAUCUUUUCACACGUUAUCUGUGUCACGGUGACAGUUUUAACUAACAUUUAAAAAACAUAUUCUUUAUAAAAGUGACAUACUGUAGCUCUAAGUACAGAGGAGCAGCUUAUAAAUAACUCGACUGUAUUUCAUUUCCAGUUGAAUUUUACACAAAACAAUGUUCAGGGAUGUUUGUUUGACGUGUAUCGGCUGAAAGCUUCAUAGACUCAGGGAUUUAUUUGAAGCUUAAAAGUUAAGUGUUUGAAUGAAUUACUAAUAUUUUCAAAUACCAAAUGUACCCUUGUUGUUUGCAUGCAGAAACUGUAAUAACAGCAGCAUGAGAUUGUUUUUGGUUUAUUUAAUCCAAGAACAAUUCAUCUAACUUGACCUCCUUCGUAUUUUGUCACCUUCCGACCACAAACCUCCAUGUGCGUCAGUGGGAUUUUACAAAUUAGACCAACAGGGGCGUCAAAGUUAUAUGUGGGUAUGUCUCUGCCAGCUUUAUGCAUAUUGAAAGUCAAAAAUCCCAUUCUAUUAAAACUAUGUCCCUUGUUCUUUAUAGCCUAAGCAUGAUAGGUACUGAGUGAAAACCAUAAAAAAACAUACAGAGCUACUUUAGCAAAGGAAAUGCAGCAUUUCGUUUACCACUUUCUCUUUUUUUACAAAGUCAAAUAUAAUUGUUCUAAUUUCCAUGUUGACGUGGUCUUGCAGGCCUUUAGCUACAGAAAUUGAAACUUCUGAAAAGGAGAAGAUAACAUGGAAAACUAAUUAUACCCUGUUCUCAUUUAUGGCUUGUGCUACCUGUCAUUUCUAAACCACAGCAGGUCCACAGUGAACGUUUCUCACGUUAGCUGGUGAAAUGUACAAGCGGGAUUUGCAUGUGAUAUGUUGCAGAGCAAUAAUUUCUGACAAAAAACCCCCCCAAAAACACAUU